rnacentral:rRNA from 1 species
GAUGAACGCUGGCGGCGUGCCUAAUACAUGCAAGUCGAGCGAACGGACGAGAAGCUCGCUUCUCUGAUGUUAGCGGCGGACGGGUGAGUAACAAGUGGAUAACCUACCUAUAAGACUGGGAUAACUUCGGGAAACCGGAGCUAAUACCGGAUAAUAUUUUGAACCGCAUGGUUCAAAAGUGAAAGACGGUCUUGCUGUUACUUAUAGAUGGAUCCGCGUUGCAUUAGUUAGUUGGUAAGGUAACGGCUUACCAAGGCAACGAUGCAUAGCCGACCUGAGAGGAUGAUCAGCCACACUGGAACUGAGACACGGUCCAGACUCCUACGGGAGGCAGCAGUGGGGAAUCUUCCGCAAUGGGCGAAAGCCUGACGGAGCAACGCCGCGUGAGUGAUGAAGGUCUUCGGAUCGUAAAACUCUGUUAUUAGGGAAGAACAUAUGUGUAAGUAACUGUGCACAUCUUGACGGUACCUAAUCAGAAAGCCACGGCUAACUACGUG